GGUUAGGUGGCGCAAUGGUAGCGUGUGGUCCUCCUAUAAAAGGGAGAAAUCACCAAGACUGAGGUUGUGGGUUCGAGUCCCAUCCUGAUCG